AGCAGUAGCCACGGUAAUACAGAGGGUGCGAGCGUUAAUCGGAUUUACUGGGCGUAAAGCGUGCGUAGGCGGCUUCUUAAGUCGGAUGUGAAAUCCCUGAGCUUAACUUAGGAAUUGCAUUCGAUACUGGGAAGCUAGAGUAUGGGAGAGGAUGGUAGAAUUCCAGGUGUAGCGGUGAAAUGCGUAGAGAUCUGGAGGAAUACCGAUGGCGAAGGCAGCCAUCUGGCCUAAUACUGACGCUGAGGUACGAAAGCAUGGGGAGCAAACAGGAUUAGAUACCCCCGUAGUCCAUGUCUCUUAUAA
rnacentral:rRNA from 1 species